rnacentral:tRNA from 1 species
GGAGAGGUCGCAUAGUGGUCUAGUGCGGCGCGGUGCUAACGCGUUGUUCGGGUUAAACCGAACCGAGGGUUCGAAUCCCUCCCUCUCCG